rnacentral:lncRNA from 1 species
AUGGUGAAACGCACCGAGGAGGUUAGAAUCGUGGGCAAAUACGGACCCGUCCCAGUGCCUCUCUCAGGAAAAUGGCGCGGAAAAUUGAAAUCAGCCAGCACGUGGACUACACCUGCUCCUUCUGUGGCAAAACCAAAAUGACGAGACGUGCCGGGGGCGUUUGGCUCUGUGGUUCCUGCGUGAGAACAGUAGCUGGUGGGCCUGGACCUGCAGGUCCACCUCUGCUAUCACUGGAGAGCCGCUGUCAGAGACUGGAGGAACUGAAGGGCCGGUAG